UAGCCUAAAUCAUUUCAGCGACGUCAUGGAAAUAUGUGGAAAUCCUUAGAAAUGUAGGAUUCCAGGUUCUUCCGCAAUACGCUGCUCGGUGAAGCAAGGAAGCCUGAAAAUUACAUUAGCCAAAUCCCAAAAUGAAACAGCUCAUGCAGCGUAUAGUCCUCCUGGUGUUCUUCUGCUGCAGUAUGUUUUACGAUUAAUUCCAUACAUUUUUUAGUCACGUGUUUUUAUAUGCAUUAUUAUUAUUAUUAUUAUUAUUAUUAUUAUUAUUAUUAUUUAUAGAGCUGCAGUAAGCCUAUUAUCUAUAUCGGUUUCACACUGACGAUAAUUCGGGAAUUUCCUAAACGAAAACGACAGUCGUUGUUUUAUUAAAGCAAUGACUGUGAAUUCAGUUGUGAAAGGAAAAAGGCGAAAACAAUGGACGUUCGCCGUUUAAUGGAAAGAAAGGCUUUAUGAACAGUGUGAGCUCGUGAUGUUCCUCGGCUCUGUUGAUGCGGGGAUUCCGGUCUAUUUUUAGCCCUUUGCUCUCGGUGGAGCAGCGGGGGUUUUCCCAGACAGCCUGUUACCGCUGCGCGAGGUUAAGACUAUCCAAUGAGUUUUGGGAUCGUGACCAGGCAACCAGACUAUUAAUAACCUCAGAAAAAAGACGGAGGAACGUUGCGCCUGUACCUUGAUGCCCAGAAUUCCAUGUUAGCCAUUAUGCAUAGUGUGUCUGCGUAAUUGCUUUUUGUCAUAUAAUUAUGUUUGUAUAAGAGCAAUAAUACCUCCCUAUGGGAUUUUUUUAAAAAGAGCACGGCGUCUGUCAAAAGAGCACGACGCGAUGAACUGAUGAAAAUGCUCAUGUAUUUAUACAACAGCUUCUAAAAAAAUGCAGGGAAACCUAAAGGGCUCUCAAGUGCAAGCGCACGCAUUCAGGAGGGCCAGGCCGAGCGGUCACAGUGAAGGACUCGGAGCCCUGGGCCACAGAGGAGGGCCUGUCCCUCAGGAUGCGCUCCACCGCAAUGGCCUGACUUACACUUCCCACCACAGCGAUCAACAAGGCAUCAAUCAAGGACAGAGAACCGCUCCUGCAGCUCUGCUCAGAUACAGUAUAUUGCUGUAAAACUAUAACACGUAUAGAUGGUAAAUGGACUGCAUUUAUAUAGCGCUUUUAUCCAAAGCGCUUUACAAUUGAUGCCUCUCAUUCGCCAGAGCAGUUAGGAGUUAGGUGUCUUGCUCAAGGACACUUCGACACACCCAGGGCGGGGUUUGAACCAGCAACCCUCCGACUGCCAGACAAUCGGUCUUACCUCCUGAGCUAUGUCGCCCCGUAGAUAAAUCUAUCAAGACAACCUGCUUGUCCCCAUAUAUUUUAACACCAAGAUGCUGGAAGUAGUAUUAUUUAGCUGUCGGGAUACCACCAGCUAGGACAGCAGCUCUAGCAACUCCAGCAAGUUGCAGAAUGUUCUAAUUUUAGACGAAGUGUCUGGUGGGUUUUCAUACAAUCUUUUCGUAACCCGGAGGGAAUAGCUCGGACGUUUUUGACAAGAAGUUUAUGAAACGUAGGAAAACCAGAUUCCAACACACACACACACACACACACACACAUACCCAAAGGCAAAGUGUGAAACAACAGUGAAAUCAACUGUUCCCGUUUAUAUGGCAUGCAGGUGCACUGACAGACUUGGCCUCGAGAGGGGCAUCCCAUGGGGGAGCAGCCAGCUGUUUCCCGUGUGGACAGGCAGGAGUUUUAAAGCCCCAUCAAACCAAGUCACACCCCUGCAUUUUACAGCCUCCGUUUCACUUCGUUAGCCAGUUCUUUAACGAAUGCACACAAAAAAAAGAUUUCAUGGGAUAUUAAACGAAGGGCAGCGAUGGAGUUCUAUCUGUGCUAAUUAAACUCAUCCCCAACUGACUUUCAGGGCAAGUGGAAAAGGGCAGUAGGAGCUAGAGCAACGGAAAUCUUCCCAAAUUAGCAAAAUAAUGGUAAACUUGCAGCUUUAGCUCCUUGAAAGAAGAUUUUCUAGAGUAGCACUGCCGUACAGCUGCGCGUAUGCCGCAGGUUCCAAACUACCCCUCGUACACCUGCGUGUUCGUAUACACUGCCGGUUACUCAUCUCAAGGCAAUUAAAACUCCAUUUUCACAGAGCCUGUUACACAAAUAAUCCCAUUAACAACAUGCGACAGAUAGCCAAAUCACUGGAGUGUCAUAUAUGGGCCGCCAGCGCCGAAGCCCAGGAGACGCGUACUGAUUCGAAGCGGUACAGUGGGCACGGGGGGAAUCCGCCGUCCUUGCCCGUGGCGGUGCCUGGUCGCUGAUGAAAUACCCCAGUGAGCAGGGAGCGCAAGUUCAUUAAUGGCGAGAGGAACUCUGGCUCCGGCUGAUUGCCGGCUGUUUCAAUACACUAAGCAAGGAAGGAGCGCAUAGAGGUGAAAUAUUCUGCGGGGAGGUCAAUCGAUCCUGCUCCGCCCCUCCUAACGGCCCGGGGAGAGGGGAGACGAAUCAGCCCCCUUCCUCCACCUGCAUCUGUGCAGGAGCCUGUCCACCAUCCCUGCCUUUCUCCCUCUCCUCUCUGACCGUUUCCAGGACUCAGAUCAGUGCCUUAAAUCAACUGCUACUACUCGAGGAUAUGAGCAAAGAGUAAAUUAACAGCCGCAAUGGGGAUAUAACUGGAAAAGGGGAGGGGAAGUAACACAGCUAGUCACAGUGGUCACGUCCAAUGCAGACGCCUGUACGCUGCAUUAAAAGAGGACGACAGAUAAAUCAGGAGAAAAACCAACGGGGCAAUCACUCAUAUGGAAUGUACAUUGAAUACAUAUCCCGUAUUUAUAUACACAGUGUAUAUGUGCACACACACAUAUUUGGCCCAUCUCACAAUGUGAAAAAUCUAGUUACAAGUAGUUGUGACUCUCUCACCCACAUCCAAUUUUACAUUUGAGGUUAACAGUGACAGAAAAGUCAUCAUACUUUAAGACCUCUGGUAAAGGAGACAAAGCUUGUUUGACUUAUUCCCUGGACAGUACCUACACCAGGAGACUAAUUGACUUCUGUGACUGAUUAGCCCUCCAGACCAAAAGCUUGCGCAUUUGCCUUUUCAUUACUCUCCUGUGAGCAGUCAAGGUGACCUAAGGGUGCUUUUUUAAUACCAAAAAAAUUCCUAAACAUUCAUUGUUAAUUAGCAAGGCACCAACUGGAGACGGGGAUUUGAGGCAAAAGCUAAAUUUAUUUUAAAGUCAAAUUAUCGCCACAUUUCUCUCAGCAGUUACAGAAGUGAAAGAAAAAAUGUGCGGAAAUGUAAAGCCCAACUCAACUGCUAGCAGAAGGCCCCUUUAGAGAUACACAGUGAUGUCACCCAGCACUGCUCUCCACCUCUCCCCAAACACCACCUCUAACUGAUAUUUAGUAAACAUUUUUGGCAAACACCUGCUCAUCUCUAUCAUGAAUGUUAAAUACGGUAUGAUGAUAAAAUGACUAUUGAAAUAAUAAUGUCAUCGAAAUGGCCUGCACAAUUGUAGGUUUCUUUGUUGCACCUGAUAUUUAAUCCCCUUCAAGAUUUUUUAACAGCUGAAGCAAUGUAGCAUACAUUAUUUUAAAACAGAUUCUUUGUGAAAUUCAACAAUAUAGAAAUAACUGGCAGCAGUUACAGCAGUCAGCAGCUAUUUUGCAAGCUGCUCAUGACAAUAAAAUUGCCAUAACUGGAACAGGGCACACGAUUUGGGAUUAAAUUCUAUAAAUUCAGUUCAGAUACAAUUAAGCUUUGAGAUUCCAAAAAUUACAUUAAAAAAUCAAUUAAAUUCUUAUCCAUCCUAAAAAGCUCCACUCUAUUCAGUAUACUGCUCCAAUUCAUUCAAUAUAAUCACACAACGCAAUACAAAUAUAGCUAGAAAACACCUAUAUCUACACUAACUAAUUAUAACAAUAUAUUGAUUUCAUACUUAGCUUUGUCUUUUUUUCCCUUUUACCCAUUAAAAGCACUUUUGUUCUGAAACCUUUGAAUAAAUUGAGGCUGAGGUAAAAUUGUGAGUGCAAAUAUGGUUUUAUUUAACUAUAAAUAUGCAUUGUUAGGUUCAAUACAAAAUGAUCUAGUAUAUAAUGAGAAAAGCAUCAAUAGCGAUCAACGAUGAGGGGAAAAUUGUAGUCGCUUUCCAAGGAAUCUUGCCGAUAAACCUUUCCACAGAUUCCUUGUCCAUUAAAUUCUGCAUUUCUAUUAAAAUUAUGUUUUUUUUUGGGUGCAAAACCUGCAUCCUGUGAUCACCUGCAACCCAGUGACCCUGCUUCAUUCAGUAUCUGACCACGAUCUCUGACUUUUUCCGCAUAUACGAACCCGAUUUAUUACACUCCUCAGAAAACUGUAGCCAUCUGUGGCGUCCAACGUGCUGGACAAAAGCUCUUCCAAAACUGAGCUAUAAACAUUCAAUACGUAGGUAGGAGGUUAUCACCUAGACCCUGAUAGUGUCACGAUGUCUUCUGCAAAUGCAAAAAUUCUCUGAUUAAUGUGCUUCAAGGUGACUUAUGGCUGACUGUCACAGGACGCAAAAACAAGGACGGUGAACGCAUUACCUUUCAACACACUGCUACAUCCUCAUUCAAAAAGACCCUUUCGUACCAUCCCCCAAUUCACCUCCUUUAAAAUGGAGGACACUGGGGGAGGGGGAAGAAAAAGCCCGUCGCUCUUCAGAUGUCAGUGGUGUGUGAUGCUACCAUCACCUCUGAAUAAAGUCAAAGGAAUUUCAAACGUCCACUGCGCAGCGGGUUGCAUGUUGCUGAGCUAGUGAUGUCUGAAGGAUUCUGCCCUAUCAAAUCCACUGCAGCAAAGCACACGGUUGCAUGCCAAAUGAACUAUUUAUGAAUGUAAAAAUGCAUAUAAAUUCUACCUGGUAUGAACAUCCAUCAGGGGCCUGAUCCCUCUUCAGUAGAUCAGCAGGUGCAGUCUACAAGGUGGAAGGGAGCAGCGAUGGUUCUGCAGUGAGUGCAAUGCGCGAGAAAUUGUAUUUUCUACUUUCUGUCACUGCAAAAAUUACAGGCUUGAAAAUGCAUGUGGUCCACUGUCUGUUCCCAUAAAGCCUUUGGGUUUUCAGCCUGCUUCAUCCUGAGCACAGAGUUGGGAGGGACUGUCUCAGGCAAAACCAGUGGACAAAUCCCUCAAGUGAUGACCCACUGCCAUCAUAAGAACAGGUCAGUAAACCCCUCGCCAACAUGACACAGGGUUAGUAAACCACUCACCACCAUUACACAGGGUUAGUAACCACUCACCACCAUUACACAGGGUUAGUAAACCAAUCACCACCAUUACACAGGGUUAGUAACCACUCACCAUCAUUACACAGGGUUUGUAACCACUCACCCCCAUUACACAGGGUUAGUGAACCACUCACCAUCAUUACACAGGGUUAGUAAACCACUUACCACCAUUACACAGGGUUAGUAACCACUCACCAACAUUACACAGGGUUAGUAAACCACUCACCCCCAUUACACAGGGUUAGUGAACCACUCACCAUCAUUACACAGGGUUAGUAAACCACUUACCACCAUUACACAGGGUUAGUAACCACUCACCAACAUUACACAGGGGUUAGUAACCACUCACCAACAUUACACAGGGUUAGUGAACCACUUACCACCAUUACAUAGGAUUAGUAACCACUCACCAUCAUUACACAGAGUUAGUAAACCUCUCACAAUCAUUUCACAAGGUUAGUAAACCACUCACCACCAUUACACAGGGUUAGUAAACCACUCACCACCAGUACACAGGGUUAGUAAACCGCUCACCACUAUUACACAAGGUUAGUAACCACUUACGAUCAUUACAUAACAUUAGUAAUCCACUCAGGAUCAUAACACAGACUUAGCAAACCAUUUACUAUCAUUAUACAGAGUUAGUGAACCACACACAGUCAUUAUACAGGGUCAGUAAACCCUUCCACACCAUUAUACAAGGUCUGUGCCACAAUUGCAGAAAACCAUUUAACCACUACCCUCACACCAUGUCAGUAAUCUUUUCUCCAAUAUUACACUGGGUUUUUUUUCUGUGUUUUUUCCAUUGGCUGAAUUGUUUCAAUAACCAAUUAAAUGUCUUAUUUUCAAUAGCUCCAACUAAGCAGGAAUUUAUUUUAAUCAAGACGGUAUAUUUUAAGAGAAAGCACAAAAUUGUGUCAUAGAAUUGAGAAUUGUAACUGCACCCCAACAAUGCUUUCAGCCCCAUGUCAGUUAUUCCCUCUACGUCCAAAACAUAAAGCGGCACAAUUAACUUGAAAAAUAUAAUCAAUCACUUUCACAAUUUCCACCUUGAAAUUCCAUGGAAGACUAACUCCCCCUGACCAUUCAUUUUAUGGGUUAGACGAAUGCUAGCAAGCGUG